AAUGUCUGACGCCGUUGACUUUUUAUCACAUGUUUGACCGUUCGUCUUAUUCAAAAAAUUUAAGUAAUUAUUAAUUCUUUUUCUAUCAUUUGAUUCAUUGUUAAAUAUAUUUUUAUGUAGGCAUAUAAUUUUACAUAUCUCAUAAAAGUUUUUUGAAUAAGACGAACGGUCAAACAUAUGCUAAAAAGUCAACGGUGUCAAACAUU
rfam:Oryza sativa Japonica Group DNA, chromosome 6, cultivar: Nipponbare, complete sequence.